UACGGAGGGGGCUAGCGUUGUUCGGAAUUACUGGGCGUAAAGCGCACGUAGGCGGCUUUGUAAGUUAGAGGUGAAAGCCCGGGGCUCAACCCCGGAAUAGCCUUUAAGACUGCAUCGCUUGAAUACGGGAGAGGUGAGUGGAAUUCCGAGUGUAGAGGUGAAAUUCGUAGAUAUUCGGAAGAACACCAGUGGCGAAGGCGGCUCACUGGACCGUUGUUGACGCUGAGGUGCGAAAGCGUGGGGAGCAAACAGG
rnacentral:rRNA from 1 species